rnacentral:lncRNA from 1 species
UUUUCAGCAUUCCCCCACUCAAUACUAUCAGGUUCACUACUUUCUUCUUGCAGCAUCUGUGACAAGGAGUGACGGACACGAGGACUUGACAAUGCCACUGGAGCAAUGCUGGCUGGAGAUAUAAGCUGAGAUGUAAUGUCAUCACAUGGUAUAUGUGAGUCUUGAUGCUCUUCUAUUUCCACCCAUGCAAUGGGAGAGAUUGCUGAUUCUUCUUCACCUUCCAUUUUUAGGGAAGAUUCCACCAUUUUCUUUUUAUCAUCGCCAUCAGCUGUAACUUGAUCUAAGUUUUCUAUGUUGCCACAUUUCUGAGGGCUAUUUACCUGAGUUUCUGAUUCAAACUCAGCAUCAUGACUUUCCAAUACUACAAGACCCCCAUCCUGCUGCUGGUUGACCAGAUCACAGGCAUUAACAACUGACUCAUUCUCUUGAGCUUGGAUCUGAUUUCUGCUGUUUCUUGGAGAUUCCUCAGACUGAGAAGAAACUUUUGUUUUGUUGCCAGUGGAACCAACACCAGGACCAAUUCCAGAGCCCUUACGAAGAAAUGGCUUUGACUCCAGUGGUACUACACUGCUUUUCUUCGUCGCCUUGCUAUAGAAAGUAGGCCUUGCAGGAACCACAGAAGAAUAAUCCCCAGAACUAGUCAGAACUUUUGUUUUUGUUGGUUUGCCACUUCUUGUCACUGUUUGCUGCUGUUUCUCAUUCCCGUUUCUCAGGCUCCUUUUAUUGUUCAUCUGGGUUCCUUUGACAUUUUUCUGUCCCUGCUGCGAUCCUUCAACUUUUGGAUUUGACCUAGGAAGUGAUGCUGUUGGCAGGGGUUUCCGCCGUGUUGGUGUAGUGCCAGCAGAAGAAAUUCCAGUGGGGGUUUUAACUGGUGAAGUCCCUGUGGCUCUGGGUGAUGGUGAAAUUCCAGUGGGAG